rnacentral:rRNA from 1 species
UGGCGGAUAGGCUUCGCGGCGUGCCCUAUGCGGUAUACCAACGUGUAGGCUGUCGCGCCGCGUUGUCCUUGUACGCCGGCUCAAUCCUACCGCGGUGCUCUUUACCGAGUGUCGAGGUAGGCCGACACUGUUUACUUUGAACAAAUUAGAGUGCUUAAAGCAGGCUCUUAAAUCAGCCUGAAUAGUGGUGCAUGGAAUAAUGGAACAGGACCUUGGUUCUAUUUUGUUGGUUUUCGGAAUCCAAGGUAAUGAUCAAUAAGGACAGGCGGGGGCAUUCGUAUUGCGACGUUAGAGGUGAAAUUCUUGGAUCGUCGCAAGACGCACUAGAGCGAAAGCAUUUGCCAAGUAUGUCUUAAUUGAUCAAGAACGAAAGUUAGAGGUUCGAAGGCGAUCAGAUACCGCCCUAGUUCUAACCAUAAACGAUGCCAGCCAGCGAUCCGCCGACGUUCCUCCGAUGACUCGGCGGGGAGCUUUCCCCGGGAAACCAAAGCUUUUGGGUUCCGGGGGAAGUAUGGUUGCAAAGCUGAAACUUAAAGGAAUUGACGG